AUGAAGAUACAUCUUAAGAAUAAAAUCUUUGCAUGGUAUCUUCGUUGCGGAGUCAUUCUUACUAAAGAUAACCUUAUCAAGAGGAAUUGGCAUGGAACCCCGCAAUGUGUAUUUUGUCACUAUGAGGAGACAAUAAAACAUUUAUUCUUUCAAUGCAAAUUGGCUCGUUCCAUAUGGCCAGUCAUCCAAAUAGCUUCUGACUUGUAUCCUCCCUGUAGUGUUGCUAAUGUAUUUGGAAACUGGUUACAUGGGAUUGAUCACAGGUUUAGAACUCUUCUCAGGGUGGGAGUGCUUGCCGUUAUUUGGUCGCUUUGGCUAUGUAGAAAUGAUAAGGUUUUUAAUGAUAAAAGUACUUCUCUGUUGCAGGUUAUGUACAGAUGUACUGGGACUCUUCGUUUAUGGUCCUCUCUACAACGCUGA
rnacentral:rRNA from 1 species